AAAUUGUGGUGUGGACACUUGAGAAGCAGCUCAUUGAAAUGUUCCCAUGCUUCAAAGAAAAGAUUUCCAUCUUUAUGUUGAAAUGUUUGAAUCUCCCUUCUAAGUUG